AGAGUGAACGCUGGCGGCAGGCCUAACACAUGCAAGUCGAGCGGCAGCGGGUCGUAGCAAUACGAUGCCGGCGAGUGGCGGACGGGUGAGGAAUACAUCGGAAUCUACCUUGUCGUGGGGGAUAACGUAGGGAAACUUACGCUAAUACCGCAUACGAACUAUGGUUGAAAGCGGCGGACCGCAAGGCGUCGCGCGAUUGGAUGAGCCGAUGUCCGAUUAGCUAGUUGGUGGGGUAAAGGCCUACCAAGGCGACGAUCCAUAGCUGGUCUUAGAGGAUGAUCAGCCACACUGGGACUGAGACACGGCCCAGACUCCUACGGGAGCAGCAGUGGGGAAUAUUGGACAAUGGGACGAAAGCCUGAUCCAG
rnacentral:rRNA from 1 species